rnacentral:rRNA from 1 species
GACGGGGCCGCACAAGCGGUGGAGCAUGUGGUUUAAUCGAAGCAACGCGAAGAACCUUACCAGGUCUUGACAUCCCGAUGCUAUUUCUAGAGAUAGAAAGUUACUUCGGUACAUCGGUGACAGGUGGUGCAUGGUUGUCGUCAGCUCGUGUCGUGAGAUGUUGGGUUAAGUCCCGCAACGAGCGCAACCCCUAUUGUUAGUUGCCAUCAUUCAGUUGGGCACUCUAGCGAGACUGCCGGUAAUAAACCGGAGGAAGGUGGGGAUGACGUCAAAUCAUCAUGCCCCUUAUGACCUGGGCUACACACGUGCUACAAUGGUUGGUACAACGAGUUGCGAGUCGGUGACGGCGAGCUAAUCUCUUAAAGCCAAUCUCAGUUCGGAUUGUAGGCUGCAACUCGCCUACAUGAAGUCGGAAUCGCUAGUAAUCGCGGAUCAGCACGCCGCGGUGAAUACGUUCCCGGGCCUU